GCGCCGGUGGUGUAAGGCGCCGCAUUGUUGCCCGGAAAGCAGAUAGUGCGGGCUUGAAUCCCGCCUGGAGCA
rnacentral:tRNA from 1 species